CUCGAACAUCAGCUAGAUACAAAAGUAAGCGAGAGUUCUAUCUGGCUUCUUUUUAUUUAUUUAACUUAAAAAUAUAUUUAGGAUAUGUUACUUUCAUAGACCAUAAUAGAAAGAGUUCUUAUUUUUCAGUCUGUUGCAUUCUUUAUCCCAUUGCAUUUUGUUAGUCUGCCAAACAAUAUUCCUUGGGAGUUCAACAAUAGAGGGUGACUUCUUCAUCAAUUUAUGGGUUUCUGGGCAAAUUUUAGAACUUAUCUUACCAAAUUCCUUAAGGUUGCAUUUGGCUUU
rnacentral:misc_RNA from 1 species